GGGAGGGGGGUUUUAUAGGUUUUUGAAACAGCUCAGGACGAACGCUGGCGGCGUGCCUAAUACAUGCAAGUCGAGCGGACAGAUGGGAGCUUGCUCCCUGAUGUUAGCGGCGGACGGGUGAGUAACACGUGGGUAACCUGCCUGUAAGACUGGGAUAACUCCGGGAAACCGGGGCUAAUACCGGAUGGUUGUUUGAACCGCAUGGUUCAAACAUAAAAGGUGGCUUCGGCUACCACUUACAGAUGGACCCGCGGCGCAUUAGCUAGUUGGUGAGGUAACGGCUCACCAAGGCGACGAUGCGUAGCCGACCUGAGAGGGUGAUCGGCCACACUGGGACUGAGACACGGCCCAGACUCCUACGGGAGGCAGCAGUAGGGAAUCUUCCGCAAUGGACGAAAGUCUGACGGAGCAACGCCGCGUGAGUGAUGAAGGUUUUCGGAUCGUAAAGCUCUGUUGUUAGGGAAGAACAAGUACCGUUCGAAUAGGGCGGUACCUUGACGGUACCUAACCAGAAAGCCACGGCUAACUACGUGCCAGCAGCCGCGGUAAUACGUAGGUGGCAAGCGUUGUCCGGAAUUAUUGGGCGUAAAGGGCUCGCAGGCGGUUUCUUAAGUCUGAUGUGAAAGCCCCCGGCUCAACCGGGGAGGGUCAUUGGAAACUGGGGAACUUGAGUGCAGAAGAGGAGAGUGGAAUUCCACGUGUAGCGGUGAAAUGCGUAGAGAUGUGGAGGAACACCAGUGGCGAAGGCGACUCUCUGGUCUGUAACUGACGCUGAGAGCGAAAAGAAGCCC
rnacentral:rRNA from 1 species